rnacentral:lncRNA from 1 species
ACCCCCAAAAUUUUAUUUUUCUUGGUUGCAGGUACAGAAUAAUUCUGAACAGUUACCAAUAAGUCAUUUAAUUGGGCAUUAUGGAAAUGACUUUCUGUUCUAUUAAAUACUGAUGAACUUUGAAUUUCAUUCAUGGUAUCCCAGGAGGUCUAUAUCUUUGCUUCCCAUAUUUGCUUUCCUAGAAGCAGAAGUAAAAGUCCACCAGCAUCCAUUAAACACUAGAACAUUCUGAAUACAUGAGAUGCAAAAGAGUGCCUCAGGAAGCUGGCACCCAAGGACAUUCCAUGGGCUUCCAUUUUGAACAUUUGUGU